GACGAACGCUGGCGGCGUGCCUAAUACAUGCCAGUCGAACGCUGAAGGAGGAGCUUGCUUCUCUGGAUGAGUUGCGAACGGGUGAGUAACGCGUAGGUAACCUGCCUGGUAGCGGGGGAUAACUAUUGGAAACGAUAGCUAAUACCGCAUAAUAGUAGAUGUUGCAUGACAUUUGCUUAAAAGGUGCAAUUGCAUCACUACCAGAUGGACCUGCGUUGUAUUAGCUAGUUGGUGAGGUAACGGCUCACCAAGGCGACGAUACAUAGUCGGCCUGGGAGGGUGAUCGGCCCCACUGGGACCGAGACCAGGCCCAGACUCCUACGGGAGGCAGCAGUAGGGAAUCUUCGGCAAUGGACGGAAGUCUGACCGAGCAACGCCGCGUGAGUGAAGAAGGUUUUCGGAUCGUAAAGCUCUGUUGUAAGAGAAGAACGAGUGUGGGAGUGGAAAGUUCACACUGUGACGGUAUCUUACCAGAAAGGGACGGCUAACUACGUG
rnacentral:rRNA from 1 species